rnacentral:lncRNA from 1 species
AGGUGAGCCCAAUGUAAUCAAAAGGGUCCUGAAAAGUCAAAGAGGAAGGCAGAAGAGUCAGAGGGAGAUAUGACUAUAGAAAAUAUAGAAAAACGGUCAGAGAGAAACACCAUUACUGGCUUUGAUGACGGAGGGAAGGGACAGUAAGCCAAGGAAUAUGGCAAUGUUUGGCAGAUGGAAAAGGCAAAGACUCAGAUUCUCCCCUAGCAUCUCCACAAAGGAAUGCAGCUCUGUCCAACCCUUCGUUGUAGCCAGUGAGAGUGAGGAAGAGACGAUCUCUGUGAGUUGAAAGACACCCUAAAGACGGGUGAUUAGGCUGCCUGGAAGUGCCACCUGUUUCAGAUCCCAAACCUGAAAAUCUGGCCCAGAGAAAGCGGCGUCCGGCGGUUCUUAAAAGUCCGGUAUAAUUGUCCAGUGUUUGUGAUAAGGUUAGAGGCAAUUUUUUGCCUGUCUAUGCAAACAGUCCAAGUUUAAAGGAAAAGACGAAUACGGCACACAGAGUCAACGGCAUGUGGGAGGCAGGUGGCAGAGUGAGGUCUGACUAGUUCUCCUUCCCUGCCCUUCAUGGGGAACAGGCAGGCUUGCUCUCACCUCUCUAUCAGCUCUCUUAUUUGCUCUGGUGAGAACAGAGACACAUUCUACCUCAUACAAAGUGUUCACCCAAAGGACAGUGAUGCUGCUAAUGAUGAAACUGAUGGAUGCUGUUGAAGCUCCUAAGUAGCCUGUCCUGGUAGCUCUGCUUAUUAUCUUGAAAUGUAAAAAUUAAGUGUAUUUGAAGCAAUAUCUUCUUUUUUUCUUCUUAAAGUGUAUGUGCAACUGUAUAUUGAACAUUGUGGAGUUAAGAAGAAUUAGAAAUAUUUUUGCAAG